rnacentral:rRNA from 1 species
CCUACGGGGUGCAGCAGUGAGGAAUAUUGGUCAAUGGACGGAAGUCUGAACCAGCCAUGCCGCGUGCAGGAAGACGGCUCUAUGAGUUGUAAAUUGCUUUUGUACAAGGGUAAACCUGAAUACGUGUAUUCAGCUGAAAGUACUGUACGAAUAAGGAUCGGCUAACUCCGUGCCAGCAGCCGCGGUAAUACGGAGGAUCCAAGCGUUAUCCGGAUUUAUUGGGUUUAAAGGGUACGUAGGCGGAUUGAUAAGUUAGAGGUGAAAUGUCCGAGCUUAACUCGGGAACUGCCUCUAAUACUGGUGAGCUAGAGAGUAGAUGCGGUAGGCGGAAUGUAUGGUGUAGCGGUGAAAUGCUUAGAGAUCAGACAGAACACCGAUUGCGAAGGCAGCUUACCAAUCUAUAUCUGACGUUGAGGCACGAAAGCGUGGGGAGCAAACAGGAUUAGAUACCCCGGUAGUC